rnacentral:rRNA from 1 species
CCUACGGGUGGCAGCAGUGAGGAAUAUUGGUCAAUGGACGAUAGUCUGAACCAGCCAAGUAGCGUGAAGGAUGACUGCCCUAUGGGUUGUAAACUUCUUUUAUAUGGGAAUAAAAUGCUCUAUGUAUGGUGCUUUGCAUGUACCAUAUGAAUAAGGAUCGGCUAACUCCGUGCCAGCAGCCGCGGUAAUACGGAGGAUCCGAGCGUUAUCCGGAUUUAUUGGGUUUAAAGGGAGCGUAGGUGGUUUGUUAAGUCAGUUGUGAAAGUUUGCGGCUCAACCGUAAAAUUGCAGUUGAUACUGGCAGUCUUGAGUACAGUAGAGGUAGGCGGAAUCCGUGGUGUAGCGGUGAAAUGCUUAGAUAUCACGAAGAACUCCGAUUGCGAAGGCAGUUCACUGGACUGUAACUGACACUGAGGCUCGAAAGUGUGGGUAUCAAACAGGAUUAGAUACCCCUGUAGUC